AAAAAUCCCUUAACGUACACAAUUUAAACAAAUAAAUUUAUCAAAUAUCCCUCAAUUACAUCUCUAAUGAGACGCAGGACAUUUAAAUUGGUAUUGACAUGUCGCCGACCCACAAGUUUCAAUUGGUGUACAUGAUGACAAGUAUAUCCAAGUUAACGUGUGAAAAUAUUUCUCUUUUCUCAUUCUAGCAAAUAUCAACACACAACUUGCUUCCUCCAUAUAUCGCCCUUUCACUUAAGCUUCAUUCCUAGAAAUUAAAUAUCUUCAAAACCAACACUUAUUUUUAGCAUACAUACCAUGGACAUGCAAAUUUCACAACCUAUACCAGAGGGGGAAGAACACAACACAGCAAUGAUAAAAAAUCCUUUAGAAUCAGGGGAAUCACCCCAUGAAGCUAUGUUCUUGGUGUUGGCCUAUCUCCCUUUAUUUGAACUUCUGUCUAUGACUCAAGUUUGCAGGUCAUUAAGAGAUGCUUUAAGAGAUGACAUACUGCCAUGGCUGAAUAUCGUUGUCGAAAAGCCAUUAAAUACUCAUCUUUCUGAUGAUUUUCUGGUAAAAAUGACGUCCAAGGCAAAUAGCCGUCUGAAAAUUCUUGCUCUCAUAAAUUGCUUUAAGAUAACGGAUGAUGGGCUGCUACAAGUCAUUGCCAGUAAUCCUCAUAUCAGCAAGCUCUACUUACGAGGGUGCACAGGCUUAACCAUUGAGGGAGUACUUGGAGCGGUGAAGUUACUUACCAAGGGUAACCACAAGUUAAAGAGCUUAAGUAUUUCUGGCAUCUAUAAUGUGAAGAGAGAGGACUUCGAAACACUUGGUCAUCUAAUGGGAAUAAACCAGAUGCAAGAGAAAGAAGGAACAAAGAACUUGUACCACAGGCGAAACAAAUCAUCCACUUUUAGACAAGAAUCUCAGCCUUCAAUCGACGUAGAUAUCUGUCCGAAAUGUGGCGAAGUAAGAGAAAUCUUUGACUGUCCUAGAAAUUCUUGUAUAAGGAGAAAGCAGCUUAUAGAGUGCAGGGGCUGCUUCCUGUGUGUCCCGAGGUGUGAAGAGUGUGGUGUAUGCACCAAAGAUGAAGAAGAAGUAGGUGAAGCAGCUUGUGCAGAUAUACUGUGCUUGGAUUGUUGGCUUCAGCUUCCAAAAUGUAGUUUCUGUAACAAGGCAUACUGCAAUCAACAUGCUUACCAGCAGUCUCUACAUCCCGACUCUUCAGGUUUUCUGUGCAGUGAUUGUAAAUUUCAUGCAACACAAACUUCACAUGAUUGAGAUUUUUUAUAAUGCUGCAGAGGUGACGAGACGUAUUCUUUUUUUUUUUUUUUUUGGUAAAUAAAAGUUUUUGUCUGCAAUCUGUACAAGUAAAAAAAAGAAAAAAACUGCGGAGUGACAUCUCCUGUCUGCAGCAACUAUAAAGUUACUUCCAAUCACUACUACAACGUCUGUGCUGCCAGAGUGCUACUAGAAAGGGCUACAACUCUGCACUUCAUCCCUUGUAGAAAAUCUAUCCACAAUUUUACAACAAGUAGGAACACAACAAAUGAAACGAAGAGACUUUCAAGCACAAGUUUAACAAAAAGGCUUGGAUUUUUCAAGCAUCUAACAAAGUUUGCAGCCCGAGAAAAGUGCUGGUAGUUACAAACUUACAAUGCAGAAACCACUCUAAUCAAGGGCAAACAGAAAAAAUAGCUUUCCUUCAUAUGUAUGAAUCAAAUGAUCAAGAAUAACCUAUAAUAAGCAAUGUGAAUCCUGUUCCAAGACAAAGGAA